UGUGCCAGCAGCCGCGGUAAUUCCAGCUCCAAUAGCGUAUAUUAAAGUUGUUGCGGUUAAAAAGCUCGUAGUUGGAUCUCGGCGGGCAGGGGGUGGUUCGCUCUUCAGCGCUACUGCCCCGCUUUGCCCGUGUGAUUGGCGGAGGUUUCGGGGUGCUCUUCGUUGAGUGACUCGGAGCGCCGUCAGGUUUACUUUGAAAAAAUUAGAGUGCUCAAAGCAGGCUUUUCACGCUUGAAUAUUCGUGCAUGGAAUAAUGGAAUAGGAACUCGUUUCUAUUUUGUUGGUUUUCGGAAAUCGAGUUAAUGAUUAACAGGGACAAUUGGGGGCAUUAGUAUUCAGACGACAGAGGUGAAAUUCUUGGACCGUCUGAAGACUGACUACUGCGAAAGCAUUUGCCAAGAGUGUUUUCAUUAAUCAAGAACGAAAGUUAGAGGUUCGAAGGCGAUCAGAUACCGCCCUAGUUCUAACCAUAAACGAUGCCAGCUAGCGAUCUGCCGAGUUUUUUUUGUAGGCUCCGCAGGAAGCUUUCGGGAAACCAAAGCUUUUGGGUUCCGGGGGAAGUAUGGUUGCAAAGCUGAAACUUAAAGGAAUUGACGGAAGGGCACCACCAGGAGUGGAGCCUGCGGCUUAAUUUGACUCAACACGGGAAAUCUCACCAGGCCCGGACACUGGAAGGAUUGACAGAUUGAGAGCUCUUUCUCGAUUCGGUGGGUGGUGGUGCAUGGCCGUUCUUAGUUGGUGGAGUGAUUUGUCUGGUUAAUUCCGAUAACGAACGAGACUCUGUCCUGCUAAAUAGUUGGGUCGUCCUUCGUGCGAUCCAAGUUCUUCUUAGAGGGACUGGCUGCGUCUAGCAGCACGAGAUUGGGCAAUAA
rnacentral:rRNA from 1 species